AGUGAACGCUGGCGGUAGGCCUAACACAUGCAAGUCGAACGGCAGCACAGUAAGAGCUUGCUCUUACGGGUAGCGAGUGGCGGACGGGUGAGGAAUACAUCGGAAUCUACUUUUUCGUGGGGGAUAACGUAGGGAAACUUACGCUAAUACCGCAUACGACCUACGGGUGAAAGCAGGGGAUCUUCGGACCUUGCGCGAUUGAAUGAGCCGAUGUCGGAUGAGCUAGUUGGCGGGGUAAAGGCCCACCAAGGCGACGAUCCGUAGCUGGUCUCAGAGGAUGAUCAGCCACACUGGAACUGAGACACGGUCCAGACUCCUACGGGAGGCAGCAGUGGGGAAUAUUGGACAAUGGGCGCAAGCCUGAUCCAGCCAUACCGCGUGGGUGAAGAAGGCCUUCGGGUUGUAAAGCCCUUUUGUUGGGAAAGAAAAGCAGCAGGUUAAUACCCCGCUGUUCUGACGGUACCCAAAGAAUAAGCACCGGCUAACUUCGUG
rnacentral:rRNA from 1 species